rnacentral:rRNA from 1 species
CCUACGGGAGGCAGCAGUGGGGGAUAUUGCACAAUGGGGGGAACCCUGAUGCAGCGACGCCGCGUGGGUGAAGAAGCGCCUCGGCGCGUAAAGCCCUGUCAGCAGGGAAGAAAAUGACGGUACCUGAAGAAGAAGCCCCGGCUAACUACGUGCCAGCAGCCGCGGUAAUACGUAGGGGGCAAGCGUUAUCCGGAUUUACUGGGUGGAAAGGGGGCGCAGACGGCGGUGCAAGCCAGGAGUGAAAGCCCGGGGCCCAACCCCGGGACUGCUCUUGGAACUGCGUGGCUGGAGUGCAGGAGGGGCAGGCGGAAUUCCUGGUGUAGCGGUGAAAUGCGUAGAGAGCAGGAGGAACACCGGUGGCGAAGGCGGCCUGCUGGACUGCAACUGACGUUGAGGCCCGAAAGCGUGGGGAGCAAACAGGAUUAGAUACCCCGGUAGUC